CGACCUGUAGCUCAAUGGAAAGAGUUACGGUUUCCUAAACCGAGGAUUCGGGUUCAAGUCCCGACGGGUCGUCCA
rnacentral:tRNA from 1 species